rnacentral:rRNA from 1 species
AGUGAACGCUGGCGGUAGGCCUAACACAUGCAAGUCGAACGGCAGCACAGUAAGAGCUUGCUCUUACGGGUGGCGAGUGGCGGACGGGUGAGGAAUACAUCGGAAUCUACUUUUUCGUGGGGGAUAACGUAGGGAAACUUACGCUAAUACCGCAUACGACCUACGGGUGAAAGCAGGGGAUCUUCGUACCUUGCGCGAUUGAAUGAGCCGAUGUCGGAUUAGCUAGUUGGCGGGGUAAAGGCCCACCAAGGCGACGAUCCGUAGCUGGUCUGAGAGGAUGAUCAGCCACACUGGAACUGAGACACGGUCCAGACUCCUACGGGAGGCAGCAGUGGGGAAUAUUGGACAAUGGGCGCAAGCCUGAUCCAGCCAUACCGCGUGGGUGAAGAAGGCCUUCGGGUUCUAAAGCCCUUUUGUUGGGAAAGAAAAGCAGCAGGUUAAUACCCCGCUGUUCUGACGGUACCCAAAGAAUAAGCACCGGCUAACUUCGUG